UAGAGUUUGAUCCUGGCUCAGGACGAACGCUGGCGGCGUGCCUAAUACAUGCAAGUCGAACGCUUCUUUCCUCCCGAGUGCUUGCACUCAAUUGGAAAGAGGAGUGGCGGACGGGUGAGUAACACGUGGGUAACCUACCCAUCAGAGGGGGAUAACACUUGGAAACAGGUGCUAAUACCGCAUAACAGUUUAUGCCGCAUGGCAUAAGAGUGAAAGGCGCUUUCGGGUGUCGCUGAUGGAUGGACCCGCGGUGCAUUAGCUAGUUGGUGAGGUAACGGCUCACCAAGGCCACGAUGCAUAGCCGACCUGAGAGGGUGAUCGGCCACACUGGGACUGAGACACGGCCCAGACUCCUACGGGAGGCAGCAGUAGGGAAUCUUCGGCAAUGGACGAAAGUCUGACCGAGCAACGCCGCGUGAGUGAAGAAGGUUUUCGGAUCGUAAAACUCUGUUGUUAGAGAAGAACAAGGACGUUAGUAACUGAACGUCCCCUGACGGCAUCUAACCAGAAAGCCACGGCUAACUACGUGCCGGCAGCCGCGGUAAUACGUAGGUGGCAAGCGUUGUCCGGAUUUAUUGGGCGUAAAGCGAGCGCAGGCGGUUUCUUAAGUCUGAUGUGAAAGCCCCCGGCUCAACCGGGGAGGGUCAUUGGAAACUGGGAGACUUGAGUGCAGAAGAGGAGAGUGGAAUUCCAUGUGUAGCGGUGAAAUGCGUAGAUAUAUGGAGGAACACCAGUGGCGAAGGCGGCUCUCUGGUCUGUAACUGACGCUGAGGCUCGAAAGCGUGGGGAGCAAACAGGAUUAGAUACCCUGGUAGUCCACGCCGUAAACGAUGAGUGCUAAGUGUUGGAGGGUUUCCGCCCUUCAGUGCUGCAGCAAACGCAUUAAGCACUCCGCCUGGGGAGUACGACCGCAAGGUUGAAACUCAAAGGAAUUGACGGGGGCCCGCACAAGCGGUGGAGCAUGUGGUUUAAUUCGAAGCAACGCGAAGAACCUUACCAGGUCUUGACAUCCUUUGACCACUCUAGAGAUAGAGCUUUCCCUUCGGGGACAAAGUGACAGGUGGUGCAUGGUUGUCGUCAGCUCGUGUCGUGAGAUGUUGGGUUAAGUCCCGCAACGAGCGCAACCCUUAUUGUUAGUUGCCAUCAUUUAGUUGGGCACUCUAGCGAGACUGCCGGUGACAAACCGGAGGAAGGUGGGGAUGACGUCAAAUCAUCAUGCCCCUUAUGACCUGGGCUACACACGUGCUACAAUGGGAAGUACAACGAGUCGCUAGACCGCGAGGUCAUGCAAAUCUCUUAAAGCUUCUCUCAGUUCGGAUUGCAGGCUGCAACUCGCCUGCAUGAAGCCGGAAUCGCUAGUAAUCACGGAUCAGCACGCCGCGGUGAAUACGUUCCCGGGCCUUGUACACACCGCCCGUCACACCACGAGAGUUUGUAACACCCGAAGUCGGUGAGGUAACCUUUUUGGAGCCAGCCGCCUAAGGUGGGAUAGAUGAUUGGGGUGAAGUCGUAACAAGGUAACCUUAAUUAAAAA
rnacentral:rRNA from 1 species